rnacentral:rRNA from 1 species
UACAGAGGUCUCAAGCGUUGUUCGGAUUCAUUGGGCGUAAAGGGUGCGUAGGCGGCGCGGUAAGUCGGGUGUGAAAUCUCGGAGCUUAACUCCGAAACUGCAUUCGAUACUGCCGUGCUUGAGGACUGGAGAGGAGACUGGAAUUUACGGUGUAGCGGUGAAAUGCGCGAUAUCGUAAGGAAGACCAGUGGCGAAGGCGGGUCUCUGGACAGUUCCUGACGCUGAGGCACGAAGGUCAGGGGAGCAAACGGG